CACGCCCCCCUGAGGGAGCUGCUCUUAGACCUCACUCAUGUGGAUGACAGCUGGUCUUCGGUGUGGCCGGAAAAACGUGACAGUAAGACGCUACUUAGACUGGGUUAGGCUACAUGGAGACGGUAAAGAAUGAAGAGGAAGGGAACCACCAGCAGCUUUUCCCAGCCUAAAAGAAGAGAGGAGGAAGAGCAUCCCAGAGAGGAGAUGGAGGAGGAAGAGUUCAGAGAGAGAGAAAGAAAUGAAGGCAUGCAGAGCUCAGACAGCGAAAGGUCCUUCUCUAUCUCCCCACACAUCUACCAACCACUGGAACACAUCUCCAAAGUUCUGCCGGGCCAGCUCAGCUUCCCCUCAGAAGAAGUGCUGCCACCUGCCAGAUGAAGGAGCCUUUUGAGAGGCAGCUGGCAUCGUGAUUGGACUGUACUUUGGUCUGUUCCAAUCCAGCUUCAGCUCCAGAGACGGCAGGUGGGACGAGUCAACGGAGGCCGGGUGGACGAAGGCAUGCAGCUGAGUACAAUCCAGAAAACAACAGAGGAGGAGUGCAUCGGCCCAGAGCCAGAACAACCAGAGUAGCAUGACCAAAGAACUACAGACUCUUCACAACCUGCUCAAACUCUUGGUACAGGAUCUCACCACACGGGUCAAGAAGGUUUCCGUCUCAUUUCUACUCUGAAGCUCACCUUCUCCUGCUCAAACUGCUGACAAAUGUUUCUGCUGCUCUAAAGUCUGGUCUCCAGAACUUCCUAAAAACUCUCAAAGUCUCUUCUGCUGCAGGUUGCUUUGUAGAACUGUUACAGAAAACCUCACUAAACCACAAGGAGGGGCCUCAAGAUAGUCGUCCAAAUGAAACCAUACAAAAACCAAACUAGCACAACCCAAACACUAAAGUCUCCUGCAGCCUACCAGAGAACCUCUGAGAACAGAGAAUCAGGACAGGAACUCUUACCUUCUGGACAACCAACGUUGGUUCUCAAACAAGAAUACAGAAUGUGUCUGACCAAAAACCUCUAAAGACUCACUACAGCCAAGAUAAAGACACAACUCAGCUGUACCAAAUCCACUAAUCACUGCACACAUUAGCACCAUGUGCUAACUGUGGCUAAAGAACCACAUUUACCAAGACAACUAUCCAGUACAAAGCCCUAAAACACACCAAGAAACACAUUAAAGAUGAUUUUACUGCUGGAAGCUGCAAGCCAACACCUAAAAAACAAACUAAAGCAUUGGAGCCAAACCCGGUUCAGUGGUGAACAGAAGCAGAGGAAAUGUUUGACUGCAGCUACAUAAAGCAGGAAGACACUGACCUGCUCAGGUGUUCCUGAUAACACCAAGCAGCCACCUGGACAGCCAAUAGGAACACAGCUUACUGGAAGUCCAGAGGGCUGGGUUAGUGAAGGAAAUUUAAUUUAAAGUUGAAGCAGAAAGUUAACAACGAAAGUUGAAAACCACCUUCUGAUACCUGAAAUCUCUGAGUUUUCACACAAAGAACACCUGAACAUGUCAAACUGGUUCCAUAGUAGAACCAUCAUUGUAAAAACGUCAUAGUAUGGUGUGUUGCUCAAAAAACAUUAGGACCCUGCUGUCUAGGGUCGCCGAGGAGCAACACAAAAACAGGACAAACGCUGGUUUCCAGGGGGUUAGGAGGCUAUUUAUUUGAAAGAGGAAGUUCACAACAACACAUGUGAGCAGAAAAACCAGAAAGUCUGUCUUUAGUUCAGCUGAAAAUAUUAGUUUUUGUCUUUUUUAUUGACCAAACUUUUCAGGAAGUAGAUGAAGAAUAAUUAAAGCUCUCAUGUAGAAGUCCAACUUAUUUUGGAUCCUUGUGGAGAGUUUAAUCUUAGAGUUUGUACAGCUGUUGAGUUUUUAGAGUCACAUGGAUUGUUUUGACAUUUAAUAACCGAGUCCUGAAAUAAAAUUACAGUUGUGGA